rnacentral:rRNA from 1 species
AUUGAACGCUGGCGGCAUGCUUUACACAUGCAAGUCGAACGGCAGCACGGACUUCGGUCUGGUGGCGAGUGGCGAACGGGUGAGUAAUACAUCGGAACGUACCUGAUAGUGGGGGAUAACGCUUCGAAAGGAGUGCUGAUACCGCAUACGCCCCGAGGGGGAAAGUGGGGGACCAGCAAUGGCCUCACGCUAACAGAGCGGCUGAUGGCUGAUUAGCUAGUUGGUGUGGUAGAGGCUCACCAAGGCGACGAUCAGUAGCGGGUCGUAGAGGACGAGCCGCCACACUGGAACUGAGACACGGUCCAGACUCCUACGGGAGGCGGCGGUGGGGAAUCUUGGACAAUGGGCGCGAGCCUGAUCCAGCAAUGCCGCGUGGGUGAAGAAGGCCUUCGGGUUGUAAAGCCCUUUUGUUUGGGAGCAAAGCUUACCUAAUAACACUAGGUGAGGAUGAGAGUACCAAAAGAAUCAGCACCGGCUAACUACGUGCCAGCAGCCGCCGUAA